AAACAAACAAACAGACCAAAUU
rnacentral:miRNA from 1 species